UCUGCUUUUUUGACCUAGAAAUUUUUUCUUCUACCACAAACACUAGAGAAAGAUAAACAACACAAAUCGCAUGUGAAGUGGAAGUGAUGAUGGUAGAACCCGGCAAAAUACUGCUUGGGCACAAGAUGGACAUGGCGGCAGUGUUCUAUGACAUGUUGUGAGAGAGUAAGUCUAUGGUUGAGGAAAUCGUGGCUAAGAUGCUUGCCAUCAAGAAAGAAGCCCAACCAAAAACACGGCUCCGGGAAAUUCAUCACUCAAAUUCUCGUUAAUGUCAUAACCCUCCAACAGAUGUAAUUAUUUUCGGCCUGCACAACAAUGGAGAUUUAAUAAUGACAGGGGCAUAGGAGGUACAAGUGUAAGGGAAUUUCUUUGAUUUGCCGUGUUAAACAAAUUGCACAAUUAAUUCAUUAUAUUUUACUUGUUGAAAUGAUGAACUAGAGCAUAAGCACAGGAAAUGUGGGAUGAGAUCAGUUUGUGUGAAGGUAAUUUACUUCCCUAAUUUAAGCUCUGGUUUUGUGCAUAUGCACAGGAGUGUGCUUAAUUGCUGAUCUGUGUAACUUCUAAUUUGAACUUUGUAUCUCCUAUUUGUUCUAUCAAAUUCAUUGAUGCCAUCUUUGCUUUUCCUUCUCUUUUUAUUUUUUCGCUGGGUGGUUCUUAGAAGGAUACAAGCUCCUUAAUGAUGAUUAUUUUGAUUAGAUUAAGAAAAUUUGUAUUCAUGCGUUUCAUUUUUGAGCAGGAGUACAAAUAUUAUGUGAAUUGAAAGAGAAGCAGAUGGUGGUUUAAUUCUUUGUAAAUAGCCAUCUCUCACUACAUUAAGUAAUACUAAUUUUUUACCAUACUUAUUCGUUAUUUGAUAAUUUGAUUUUUGAAAAUUUGUUUUCCUCUGCUCUAUUCAGGUGAUGAAUUUCCGGUUUUCGAAUUUUCAGGAAUUCUUUUUCAUAUUCCAUGCAGAAGUUUUAAGGCAUUUUAUUUGUAAAAAAUGUGCAGGAAACAAAAUUAAGUCAUUUAUGGAUGUCUGGCUUCUUGGUGAUGGAUUUGGAGCCACUAAUGGAAUGAAGAGAAAUAAUCUCAUUUGGGUUGUUUCAACAAUGCAAGUUCAAGUGGAUUGAUCAUUAUCCGAUCUGGUAUUGAACUACACUAUAUUAACAUAUAUAUUCAAAUGACACUAGCACUCAAUUUCUGAGGAAUGUGUGUAAUAGAAAAUGAAGUGGGCAUUCUUAUUUUUAACCUAAAAAAGAUUAAAUUUGGACAUUUGUUUCAUAACAAUGUUGCAUGUGUCAACCGGGGUGAAGUAAUGGAGAUGGACUCAUGGGUUAGAGGAAGGUUACACGCUUGGUCCUGGGGUAAGCAAUGGACUGGUAAGAAAGCUUGUGUUUUGCUUUAUUUUCUCAAACUCAAACAAGAUAAAAGGGCCGAAAGAUUUACAUCAUUAGCGGCAAAAGUUCUGUUGAAUGCUACGGCUGAAUCUUACAAAUAAUAAGAAACUUCUGUGGAUAGAAACUGUUUAAUGCAUUAUGUUAUCAGUUCUUUUGUAAUAGUUUGAGCGUACAAACUAAGAAAAUAUGAAUUCUUGCUCUCUCGUUUAUUCUUUAUUGGAUGAAGAUAUUAGAAAUUA